AAUUUCAUAGUGGGAAAUUUCAUCUUUCAUGAAGAGCUUGUAGGCUUCCUGCAACAACCAUGGAAAUGUGUCCACUGGAUCUCUCUCCAAGAAGGAACUUGCCAAUCAGCCAUGAGAAGUGCAGUGAGCUGUCAUUCCCCCAGGUGCAACAUUUAGCCGAGGCCAGGCUCUUCCCAGGAAGACCCCAGCCAAGGACAGAACAGGACUAAAUGAAGAUCAAGUCUGAAAGUCAUUCACUUUGUCAUCUGUUGGCUCUACCUUUGACUCAAGUGCCAGCCUCUUCAUCUCUCUCCUGGAUUCCUAUAAUACCUUCUCAGCUUCGGCUGUCAUUUCCCCUCCACACACAGCCAGCAUGAGUGACUGCAAAAUCAAAGUCCUGAGCUGGUCUCCCCACUCACUCAAAGGCCCUGUAGGACAGUGUCCCUCUGUGAUGGCAUAGCCACGCUGGCCUCUUGGCUGUUCCUCAGAUAUCCCAUGCUGCUGCCACCUUGAGCACUUGCUGGUUUAUCUGCCUGAUUCAAUGCUCUUCUCCCGACAUUUAUCCACAUGGACCCAUCUGCAAAGUUCUCAAGUUUCUGCUCAGAGUCACCUCAUCAGGUUGGUGACAACCUUAUUUAAAAUAGCUCUUCUUCUCCAUAUCUCCUUGCCUGACUUCAUUUUUAUCAUAGCAAUUGUAUUGAUUUGUUUUGUUGUUUAUUGUGUGUCUCCCUAUUCUAGAAUGUAAGCUCCUUGAGGACAGGGACUUGUCUGCUUGACUUGUUUCUAUCAGGGUGUCAGGACAGGGCAUAUGGUAGGUGCUUAAUAAAUAUGUGUGGGUGAAUGGA